rnacentral:rRNA from 1 species
CAGCAGCCGCGGUAAAACGGAGGGUGCGAGCGUUAAUCGGAAUAACUGGGCGUAAAGGGCACGCAGGCGGUUAUUUAAGUGAGGUGUGAAAGCCCCGGGCUUAACCUGGGAAUUGCAUUUCAGACUGGGUAACUAGAGUACUUUAGGGAGGGGUAGAAUUCCACGUGUAGCGGUGAAAUGCGCAGAGAUGUGGAGGAAUACCGAAGGCGAAGGCAGCCCCUUGGGAAUGUACUGACGCUCAUGUGCGAAAGCGUGGGGAGCAAACAGGAUUAGAUACCCCAGUAGUCCCUGUCUCUUAUAA